AAGUCGGACGCUUAACCAACUGAGCCACCCAGGCGCCCCAGCAUCAUCAGGAAAGAAGGAAGUGGAUUUUAUUUUCUCUCCCAGAAAUUUGUGGAUUCCUAACACAUGAGUUUUUCUUACUCACGGAGGGUCUUCCUCUUUAGUGAUGCUGGCAGAUUAGCCCAGAACCUUCUGAAAGAAAGCCAUUGAGAAGAUUUGCAUGGCGCACACGCGCUUGUGUUUAAGGCAAUUGACCUAAAAAAAGGAGAGGAACAAACCAAGAUUUAUAGUGUUGAAAGGAGAGAGAGAGAGAGA